rnacentral:rRNA from 1 species
CGGGUGAGUAAAGCGCAGGUAAUCUGCCGCAAAGACGGGGACAACGUUCCGAAAGGGACGCUAAUACCGGAUGUUGUGUGAGAGUCGCAUGACUUUGACAUUAAAGAUUUAUCGCUUUGCGAGGAGCCUGCGUCCGAUUAGGUAGUUGGUGGGGUAAAGGCCUACCAAGCCGACGAUCGGUAGCCGGGUCUGAGAGGAUGAACGGUCACAAUGGAACUGAGACACGGUCCAUACUCCUACGGGAGGCAGCAGUGGGGAAUAUUCCACAAUGGGCGAAAGCCUGAUGGAGCGACGCCGCGUGAGUGAAGAAGGGCUUCGGCUCGUAAAGCUCUUUUCUUGAGGACGAAUGACCUGUUAGACAGGUAGAGACGGUACUUAGGGAAUAAGCCACGGCUAACUACGUGCCAGCAGCCGCGGUAAUACGUAGGUGGCAAGCCGUUGUCCGGAAUUAUUGGGC